rnacentral:rRNA from 2 species
UGGGGAAUAUUGCACAAUGGGCGCAAGCCUGAUGCAGCCAUGCCGCGUGUAUGAAGAAGGCCUUCGGGUUGUAAAGUACUUUCAGCGGGGAGGAAGGGAGUAAAGUUAAUACCUUUGCUCAUUGACGUUACCCGCAGAAGAAGCACCGGCUAACUCCGUGCCAGCAGCCGCGGUAAUACGGAGGGUGCAAGCGUUAAUCGGAAUUACUGGGCGUAAAGCGCACGCAGGCGGUUUGUUAAGUCAGAUGUGAAAUCCCCGGGCUCAACCUGGGAACUGCAUCUGAGACUGGCAAGCUUGAGUCUCGUAGAGGGGGGUAGAAUUCCAGGUGUAGCGGUGAAAUGCGUAGAGAUCUGGAGGAAUACCGGUGGCGAAGGCGGCCCCCUGGACGAAGACUGACGCUCAGGUGCGAAAGCGUGGGGAGCAAACAGG